AGUCACUGACAUUAGAUACCCGUGUAGUCCAGGGUGUAAACGCUGCAGACUUGGUGUUGGAAGCCCUUCGGGGGUGCUCAGUGCCGGAGAGAAGUUGUUAAGUCUGCUACUUGGGGAGUACGUCCGCAAGGAUGAAACUUAAAGGAAUUGGCGGGGGAGCACCGCAACGGGAGGAGCGUGCGGUUUAAUUGGAUUCAACACCGUAAAACUCACCAGGGAAGACUGUUACAUGAAGGCCGAGAUGAAGACUCUGCUAGAUUUUCAG
rnacentral:rRNA from 1 species